UACGGAGGAUGCGAGCGUUAUCCGGAUUUAUUGGGUUUAAAGGGUGCGUAGGCGGAUUUUUAAGUCAGCGGUAAAAUGUCCGGGCUUAACCCGGGCCGGCCGUUGAAACUGGGGAUCUUGAGUGGGCGAGAAGUAUGCGGAAUGCGUGGUGUAGCGGUGAAAUGCAUAGAUAUCACGCAGAACUCCGAUUGCGAAGGCAGCAUACCGGCGCCCGACUGACGCUGAGGCACGAAAGCGUGGGGAUCAAACAGG
rnacentral:rRNA from 1 species